rnacentral:misc_RNA from 1 species
GAUGAAGAACGUAGCGAAAUGCGAUAAGUAAUGUGAAUUGCAGAAUUCAGUGAAUCAUCGAGUCUUUGAACGCACAUUGCGCCCGCUGGUAUUCCGGGGGGCAUGCCUGUCCGAGCGUCAUUGCUGCCCUCAAGCACGGCUUGUGUGUUGGGCCGUCGUCCCCCUCCUAGGGGACGGGCCCGAAAGGCAGCGGCGGCACCGCGUCCGGUCCUCGAGCGUAUGGGGCUUCGUCACCCGCUCCGUAGGCCCGGCCGGCGCUUGCCGACGACCAUCAAUCUCUUUCUCCAGGUUGACCUCGGAUCAGGUAGGGAUACCCGCUGAACUUAAGCAUAUCAAUAAGCGGAGGA